rnacentral:tRNA from 1 species
GGAGGGUUAUGCUCAGCGGGAAAGCACGUGCUUAGCAUGCAUGAGGUCCUGGGUUCAAUCCCCAGUCCCUCCA